rnacentral:rRNA from 6 species
AAAGAAACCAACAGGGAUUGCCCUAGUAACGGCGAGUGAAGCGGCAACAGCUCAAAUUUGAAAUCUGGCCCUCGGGUCCGAGUUGUAAUUUGUAGAGGAUGCUUUUGGUGAGGUGCCUUCCGAGUUCCCUGGAACGGGACGCCAUAGAGGGUGAGAGCCCCGUCUGGUUGGACACCGAACCUCUGUAAAGCUCCUUCGACGAGUCGAGUAGUUUGGGAAUGCUGCUCUAAAUGGGAGGUAUAUGUCUUCUAAAGCUAAAUACCGGCCAGAGACCGAUAGCGCACAAGUAGAGUGAUCGAAAGAUGAAAAGCACUUUGAAAAGAGAGUUAAAAAGUACGUGAAAUUGUUGAAAGGGAAGCGCUUAUGACCAGACUUGGGCUUGGUUGAUCAUCCUGGGUUCUCCCUGGUGCACUCUUCCAGUUCAGGCCAGCAUCAGUUCGCUGCGGGGGAUAAAAGCUUUAGGAAUGUGGCUCCUUCGGGAGUGUUAUAGCCUAUUGCAUAAUACCCUGCUCCGGACUGAGGUUCGCGCAUCUGCAAGGAUGCUGGCGUAAUGGUCAUCAGCGACCCGUCUUGAAACACGGACCAAGGAGUCGUCUUCGUAUGCGAGUGUUCGGGUGUUAAACCCCUACGCGUAAUGAAAGUGAACGCAGGUGAGAGCUUCGGCGCAUCAUCGACCGAUCCUGAUGUUCUCGGAUGGAUUUGAGUAAGAGCAUACGGGGCCGGACCCGAAAGAAGGUGAACUAUGCCUGUAUAGGGUGAAGCCAGAGGAAACUCUGGUGGAGGCUCGCAGCGGUUCUGACGUGCAAAUCGAUCGUCAAAUAUGGGCAUGGGGGCGAAAGACUAAUCGAACCUUCUAGUAGCUGGUU